AUUGAACGCUGGCGGCAGGCUUAACACAUGCAAGUCGAGCGGGGUGAUGGUGCUUGCACUAUCACUUAGCGGCGGACGGGUGAGUAAUGCUUAGGAAUCUGCCUAUUAGUGGGGGACAACAUCUCGAAAGGGAUGCUAAUACCGCAUACGUCCUACGGGAGAAAGCAGGGGAUCACUUGUGACCUUGCGCUAAUAGAUGAGCCUAAGUCGGAUUAGCUAGUUGGUGGGGUAAAGGCCUACCAAGGCGACGAUCUGUAGCGGGUAUGAGAGGAUGAUCCGCCACACUGGGACUGGGACACGGCCCAGACUCCUACGGGAGGCAGCAGUGGGGAAUAUUGGACAGUGGGGGGAACCCUGAUCCAGCCAUGCCGCGUGUGUGAAGAAGGCCUUAUGGUUGUAAAGCACUUUAAGCGAGGAGGAGGCUCUUUUGGUUAAUACCCAAGAUGAGUGGACGUUACUCGCAGAAUAAGCACCGGCUAACUCUGUGCCAGCAGCCGCGGUAA
rnacentral:rRNA from 1 species